rnacentral:rRNA from 1 species
UACGGAGGGUGCAAACGUUGCUCGGAAUCAUUGGGCGUAAAGCGCACGUAGGCGGCCUGUUAAGUCGGGUGUGAAAGCCCUGGGCUCAACCCAGGAAGUGCACUCGAAACUGGCGGGCUUGAAUAUGGAAGAGGGUCGCGGAAUUCCCGGUGUAGAGGUGAAAUUCGUAGAUAUCGGGAGGAACACCAGUGGCGAAGGCGGCGACCUGGGGUAGAUACUGACGCUGAGGUGCGAAAGCGUGGGGAGCAAACAGG